UACGUAGGGUCCGAGCGUUGUCCGGAAUUACUGGGCGUAAAGAGCUCGUAGGUGGUUUGUCGCGUUGUUCGUGAAAACUCACAGCUCAACUGUGGGCGUGCGGGCGAUACGGGCAGACUUGAGUACUGCAGGGGAGACUGGAAGUUCCUGGUGUAGCGGUGGAAUGCGCAGAUAUCAGGAGGAACACCGGUGGCGAAGGCGGGUCUCUGGGCAGUAACUGACGCUGGAGGAGCGAAAGCGUGGGGAGCGAACAGG
rnacentral:rRNA from 1 species